GCUCAGCUAAAAUACGGUAAAAGACGGCAUUUCCGUAAGUGUGGCCACUGACUCUUAAUCAGUAGGUUCAUGGUUCGAGUCCAUGAGGGAGCA
rnacentral:tRNA from 1 species